GGUUAAGCGACUAAGCGUACACGGUGGAUGCCCUGGCAGUCAGAGGCGAUGAAGGACGUGCUAAUCUGCGAUAAGCGUCGGUAAGGUGAUAUGAACCGUUAUAACCGGCGAUUUCCGAAUGGGGAAACCCAGUGUGAUUCGUCACACUAUCAUUAACUGAAUCCAUAGGUUAAUGAGGCGAACCGGGGGAACUGAAACAUCUAAGUACCCCGAGGAAAAGAAAUCAACCGAGAUUCCCCCAGUAGCGGCGAGCGAACGGGGAGCAGCCCAGAGCCUGAAUCAGUGUGUGUGUUAGUGGAAGCGUCUGGAAAGGCGCGCGAUACAGGGUGACAGCCCCGUACACAAAAAUGCACAUGCUGUGAGCUCGAUGAGUAGGGCGGGACACGUGGUAUCCUGUCUGAAUAUGGGGGGACCAUCCUCCAAGGCUAAAUACUCCUGACUGACCGAUAGUGAACCAGUACCGUGAGGGAAAGGCGAAAAGAACCCCGGCGAGGGGAGUGAAAAAGAACCUGAAACCGUGUACGUACAAGCAGUGGGAGCACGCUUAGGCGUGUGACUGCGUACCUUUUGUAUAAUGGGUCAGCGACUUAUAUUCUGUAGCAAGGUUAACCGAAUAGGGGAGCCGAAGGGAAACCGAGUCUUAACUGGGCGUUAAGUUGCAGGGUAUAGACCCGAAACCCGGUGAUCUAGCCAUGGGCAGGUUGAAGGUUGGGUAACACUAACUGGAGGACCGAACCGACUAAUGUUGAAAAAUUAGCGGAUGACUUGUGGCUGGGGGUGAAAGGCCAAUCAAACCGGGAGAUAGCUGGUUCUCCCCGAAAGCUAUUUAGGUAGCGCCUCGUGAAUUCAUCUCCGGGGGUAGAGCACUGUUUCGGCAAGGGGGUCAUCCCGACUUACCAACCCGAUGCAAACUGCGAAUACCGGAGAAUGUUAUCACGGGAGACACACGGCGGGUGCUAACGUCCGUCGUGAAGAGGGAAACAACCCAGACCGCCAGCUAAGGUCCCAAAGUCAUGGUUAAGUGGGAAACGAUGUGGGAAGGCCCAGACAGCCAGGAUGUUGGCUUAGAAGCAGCCAUCAUUUAAAGAAAGCGUAAUAGCUCACUGGUCGAGUCGGCCUGCGCGGAAGAUGUAACGGGGCUAAACCAUGCACCGAAGCUGCGGCAGCGACGCUGAUGCGUUGUUGGGUAGGGGAGCGUUCUGUAAGCCUGCGAAGGUGUGCUGUGAGGCAUGCUGGAGGUAUCAGAAGUGCGAAUGCUGACAUAAGUAACGAUAAAGCGGGUGAAAAGCCCGCUCGCCGGAAGACCAAGGGUUCCUGUCCAACGUUAAUCGGGGCAGGGUGAGUCGACCCCUAAGGCGAGGCCGAAAGGCGUAGUCGAUGGGAAACAGGUUAAUAUUCCUGUACUUGGUGUUACUGCGAAGGGGGGACGGAGAAGGCUAUGUUGGCCGGGCGACGGUUGUCCCGGUUUAAGCGUGUAGGCUGGUUUUCCAGGCAAAUCCGGAAAAUCAAGGCUGAGGCGUGAUGACGAGGCACUACGGUGCUGAAGCAACAAAUGCCCUGCUUCCAGGAAAAGCCUCUAAGCAUCAGGUAACAUCAAAUCGUACCCCAAACCGACACAGGUGGUCAGGUAGAGAAUACCAAGGCGCUUGAGAGAACUCGGGUGAAGGAACUAGGCAAAAUGGUGCCGUAACUUCGGGAGAAGG
rnacentral:rRNA from 1 species